rnacentral:rRNA from 1 species
UACAGAGGGGGCAAGCGUUAUUCGGAAUUAUUGGGCGUAAAGGGCGCGUAGGCGGCCUUUCAAGUGACGGGUGAAAGCCCUCGGCUUAACCGAGGAACUGCCUGUCAGACUGGAAGGCUUGAGACCGGGAGAGGUGAGUGGAAUUCCUAGUGUAGCGGUGAAAUGCGCAGAUAUUAGGAAGAACACCGGUGGCGAAGGCGGCUCUCUGGAAACGGUACUGGACGCUGAAGACGCGAAAGCGUGGGGAGCGAACAGGA